rnacentral:rRNA from 1 species
UGAGGAAUAUUGGGCAAUGCCCGCAAGGGUGACCCAGCAACGCCGCGUGGAGGAUGAAUGUCGUAAGAUUGUAAACUCCUGUUAGAGGGGAAGAAUAGUACCGGUUGGACCGGUAUAUGACUGUACCCUCAGAGAAAGCCCCGGCUAACUACGUGCCAGCAGCCGCGGUAAUACGUAGGGGGCAAGCGUUGUCCGGAUUUACUGGGUGUAAAGGGCGCGCAGGCGGGAUAAAAAGUCAGUGGUGAAAUCCUACAGCUUAACUGUAGAACUGCCUUUGAUACUUUUAUUCUUGAGUUCGGGAGAGAGAGACGGAAUUCCAGGUGUAGUGGUGAAAUACGUAGAUAUCUGGAAGAACAACAGUUGCGAAGGCGGUCUCUUGGUCCGACACUGACGCUGAGGCGCGAAAGCGUGGGGAGCAAACA